rnacentral:rRNA from 1 species
UAUGAGUGUGGGCGAGCAGGCGCGGUAAGAGAGUGGUUGCAAGGGUGGUUCGGGUUCAUUGGGGGGAAAGGGUGCGUAGGCGGAGCGGUAAGGCGGGUGUGAAAUCGCGGGGCUGAAGGCCGAAACUGCAGUCGAUACUGCCGUGCUUGAGGACUGGAGAGGAGACUGGAAUUUACGGUGGAGCGGUGAAAUGCGUAGAUAUCGUAAGGAAGACCAGUGGCGAAGGCGGGUCUCUGGACAGUUCCUGACGCUGAGGCACGAAGGUCAGGGGAGCAAACGGGAUUAGAUACCCUAGUAGUC